rnacentral:lncRNA from 1 species
AUGUGGGGUCCUCAGCCCCAGAGAGGCCAGAAACCAGAGUCUCCUCCUCUUCUGUGGGGGGCUCUGGAACUGAAGUCAAAAUCUUUUGAGAUGAGGAAAUCAGAAGAGCACAAGCUGAAGAAGUCACUGAUGGUUCUGUCACAGAGAAGACCACCGGUGGGACCAGAAGCUCAUAGGCCCCAGGGAUGGAAUGCUCCAGAUACUUGUACUCUUCAGGAACUGAGGGAAGAUCAGGCCUCUCAGGCCCAGCCAGAAAAUGGAGUAUUGCCAGCUCAGAGGGCUCCACCUGAGAGGUUAUGUGGUCCAGUUCUAAGGGAGAGGGAGACCUUUCCAGGUCAAGAAACAGAGCUGGAAGCACACCAAGACCAGGGAACCCCACUGAAGAAGACAACAGCUUUUGAGAGCCAGGAAGCACAACAACAAAGAGAGCUGGAGCCAUCAGAGGACCCAGGGACGGUUUCUCAAAGACCAGGGGCUCCACAGGCCCUUCAGACUGACAAAAAGAAGUUUCCAGAAAAGUCUCGGGCCCAGAGAAUGCCCGAAAUGGUUCUCCAGCCUGAGGAACACAGAAGCCUGGAAUCUCCACCUCUCCUGUGGAGGAUCCUAGGACUGAAGGCAAAAUCAUUUGAGCUGAGGAGGCCACGUCCCUUUCAGACCCAGAUCCAGAGAGAGAAGGAUGCGUCUUAUGGGCAGCAGGGACAAAUAGCCUCCCAGAGCCCCCAAAUCCUAAAAGAAGCAAGGAGAUCACAGGCCACCCAAACAGACAUGGGGAAUGAUGGCACACAGCCACAGUCAGGGCCAGAAGGGAACCCAAGUGUUCCUCAGCAUCAGAAACGUAGCAGCCCAGAAACACCUCCUCUUCUGUGGUGGGCCUUGGAGCUGGCCCAGCAAGAGACGCAACAUGGGAAUUUGUCGGUCUCUCCUCAGCCCCAGGAAACAGAAAUGCCCCCAGCAGCCCAACUCCAGAGGGUGCUACAGACAGAGGCCCAGAAGUCGAAGAAACGUGCGCACCAAAAUAUUGUUUCUCCCCAGGAACCAAAGGAACCAGAAACUUCUCAGGUGCUGGAGAAGGAAAAGAAGGCCCCCAAAUCUCCACAGCCUCAGGAAACUCUCCCUGAGGUGGACUCCAAGUUGCCAGCUUCACAAGGCUUGGGGUCUCAGGGCUUGCAGAGGGCAGAAGCAACUCAACCCCCCAGGAAAACCCCUCAGGCCCGUGAUGUGCUGAAGGAGACAAGGGCUGUUCCUGUCCAGAAAUCUCCACCGACAGCAAAAGGUCCCCAAGAUGUGAAGAGAUCCCCAAAGAAGCAGGAUAAACGGGGGUCUUCUCUGUCACAAGGGAAAGUGCCCAAAAUGUGUGGCUCCUACAGAGUUGGCUGCUGCCACGUUCAUCCAUGCCUGGAACUCCAGGGGUGUGAGACAAAAGAUUGUGGUCCCUCAGGUGAGGUGCAGUUCCUUCCCCGAAAGGAGCUGAGGCUGGAAAGAGCUGAGGCUCUAGGGAGGAUUGAAGAUAAUGGUUGCUCAGCCCUAGAGGGACAGACUAGGACUGAAUGUCUCCUGCCCCCAGGAAGAUUACUAGGAAAAUCAAAGUCUCUUGACCCAAGAGAUCUUCAGACCCAGAAGCCACAGAAACUGAGGGAGCAGGAGUCCCUUAGAGUUCAAAGGCAGCCAGAGACCACAGCCUUUCGGGUUCAGGAAGAUCUCCAGAUGAAACCACAAAGCGAGACUCAGACCUUUGAAUCUCAGGAAGAGAGAAGUCUGGAGGCCUCAGAGGCCCAGAGCACAUCACGGACAUCUCAGCCUCAGGGACCAGGUGCAGAAAGCCCUUCUCAUCUUCAGAGCCGCUUGGAGAGAGCGUCUGAAUCCCGUGAGCUGAUGGGGCCACCUGAGAGCUCACCACAUAGAGAUCCUGAGAACCUCAAGCUCCAGGGAACUGUGGAUCCCAAGGGACAUUGUGAAUCACAGUGCUGUGGGGUCAAGAUGGAUGACCAGCACUCUGAGGUAGAAGGCACCCUGGGAAGAUCUUCCCAAACUUUCCAUGUGCAAGAAACCUUUCAGCUUCAGGCAGCUCUGCUAAGGAAAUCAAAGUCUCUUGAGCCCCAGGAACUGUCAAGGUCACACACUUUUGGGUGCCAGGCUUCAAAGGAACUAGAAACUCCCCAGUCUCUGAGAUACGCAGAGGGUUGUCCUCAGGUCCCUGAGAACCAAGCGCUGGAAAACAUCACAUCUUGCGAAACUACACAGGUGAUGAAGAACCUUCUGCAGGACACAUCGGUUGCAAAGAAUGAAGAUAGAUCUUCUGUGCAGAAGAUGUUGAGAGACAAGGAGGUCUCACACCUUCAGGAGAAGCUUGGACAGAAGGAUCUAGGCGCCACCAAUGAAACGCAGGAAGACAACCAACAGCUCCAAGGGCAGAAAGAAAAUGAAGACCUCCAACCACCAGGAGCUCCACAGACGGAGCAGAACCCUCUGGAGAUCCAAGGGCUUUUUCAAAGGGAUCUGGAGGGCAUUUUCCUCCAGAUGCAAGGCAACCGUGUCUUCUUCAGCUUGAGGAAAGCUUGA